AUAGUCCUAAAAAUUUAUGUAGCAUUAUCACAAUGCACUGUGAAUUAAAAUUUGUGUGUGUGUGUGAUCAGCCAUGCUGGGAGUAAAGACUGAAUUAUCUUUAUUUUUACUAUAUAGGAAAUAUUGCAAAUUUAUUGUCAAAUGAAGAAACAACUAAAAAGUAUGGAGCCAAAAGAAAAAGAAACAAAAAGUAUUAAAUAAAUAUAUGAGGGAAAUAUGCAGUUUUCUAGAUUUUAUGAUAUUUGUGGCCUUUGUUUAAUAAAAUUUGUAAUUUGUUGUGAUUUUCUUUCUCAUUCUAAAAAAUUAUUUUGUGCCCGAUUUUUUAUUCAAAAUUUUCUAUUCUUUUAUAAAAAUACCCCAUUUUAUAAGUUUCAGGGCCUGCAAAACAUAAAUCCUCUGGACACAACCAUAAUGCUUUGAAAUUCACCUAUAGACGGUCAGGAACAAGUCAGAAAGGUUCACAAAAAAAUGUGAAUGUCUCCUUAGCUCUGUUUCGCCCCUAGAGGGCACUGUUGCCUAAGUUCAAUGGCUUUUCUGUAAAAGAUCAGAAUAAGCUCCCAAAAACCUCUGUCCUUAUACUUUAAAGAGGUGUUCUGUCGGCAUUUUUUAGACAGUGACAUAUAAAGAAUCUCAGACAACAGGGGCAGACAGUUUUGCCCGGAGAGCAUCUCUUCCUAACAGUCCCGAAGAAAAAGGAAUCUAAAUCUAUCAUUCUUCCUCAACCUCAGAGCAAUCUGGAUUCAAGUCCCCUCAGUCAUCAGAUUUUAUUUGUGUGUGAACAACUUCCCAGAAAGAAAACUCUCUGGUUCUUCACUGCUUGGCCAUGACCUUGGUGUUCAUCUUGACGCUUGGGGUGCUUCUGUUCCUGAGAGGGACUGGAGCCCAGUCACUGACCCAACCUGACGGCCACAUCACUGUCUCUGAAGGAGCCCGUCUGGAGCUGAGUUGCAACUAUUCCUCCAGUGGAACUACUUAUCUCUUCUGGUAUGUGCAGCACCCCAACCAAGGACUCCAGCUUCUCCUCAAGUACUCUUCAGGGCCAUCAGAUGCCCUGGUUCAAGGCAUCAAAGGUUUCGAGGCUGAAUUUAAGAAGAGUGAAAAGGCCUUCCACCUGAGGAAACACUCAGCCCAUUGGAGCGACUCGGCCAAGUACUUCUGUGCUGUGAGUGACACAGCGCCUGGGACUACAGGGGGAGCUGAACACAAACCUUCUGAGACACUGUAACUUAAAGGACUAAGGGUCUCAGCCUGAAUUGUUUUCAGGAAGUUGACAUGUUCUGUAAAGACAAACAAUACAGAUAACACAGAAUCCUGGGAAGUGUUUGGUUUCUAUGGACAUCUUAGAUAUUUUCCCUUUUUCUUUUUUCUUUUUUUUAAACUUGUUUUAUUUUUUAUUUUUUUUAAUUUACAUCCAAAUUAGUAAGCAUAUAGUGGAAAAAUGAUUUAAGGAGUAGCUUCCUUAGUGCCCCUUACCCAUUUAGCCCAUCCCCCCCUCCCACAACCCCUCCCAUAACCCUCAGUUUGUUCUCCAUAUUUAUGAGUCUUUUCUGUUUUGUUCCCCUCUCUGUUUUCACAUUAUUUUUGUUUCCCUUCCUUAUGUUCAUCUGUUUUGUCUCUUAAAGUCCUCAUAUGAGUGAAGUCAUAUGAUAUUUGUCUUUCUCUGACUAACUUCACUUAGCGUAAUACUCUCCAGUUCCAUCCACGUAGUUGCAAAUGGGAAGAUUUCAUUCUUUUGGAUUGCCAAGUAAUACUCUAUUGUAUAU